rnacentral:rRNA from 1 species
UACGUAGGCAGCAAGCGUUGUUCGGAGUUACUGGGCGUAAAGGGUGCGUAGGCGGCCGUGUAAGUGUGGUGUGAAAUCUCCUGGCUUAACUGGGAGGGUGCGCUACAGACUGCAUGGCUAGAGUGUGGGAGAGGAAAGUGGAAUUCCUGGUGUAGCGGUGAAAUGCGUAGAUAUCAGGAGGAACACCGGUGGUGUAAACGGCUUUCUGGACCAUAACUGACGCUGAUGCACGAAAGCGUGGGUAGCAAACAGG